UUUAUAACUUUUACAUGCAUCGUAUAUCGUCGAGAAUAAGGCUUGACAGUUUCUACCGGACUGCCGUAAAUGGUCCGACUACGAAUGAAUGGAAAGACGUA
rnacentral:ncRNA from 2 species